rnacentral:tRNA from 1 species
GGCCCUAUCGUCUAAUGGUUAGGACGGAAGCUUCUCAAGCUUCAAAUCCGGGUUCGAUUCCCGGUAGGGCCA